CACUCAACCACGAUGAAGGCAGCAGCAUGGAAAAUGCUGAAAAAAGAAAUGUAAAUGUCAAUUAUACGGCUGAAUAGUCAGACGUUUUAACAAGCCGGGUGUAAAAAUUUUUUUGAUCUAUUCAAGCGCUGCUUUAUUUUUAUAAAAUAUGUACUGGCAUUGUUGAAAGCUGACUUUUAGUUCAUCAUGAACAAAAUAAUAUAUUUCGGCUUUCCGAAUCGUUAAAAUGCAAGAAGUAAUUAAUGUUACAAAAAAUUAAAGAUGCCAUUUACUUCAACCACUCCUCGUCUAUUGUUUUCAUACACAAAUGAAACGGAAACCGUGUAACCUUGCUACAUACUUUUAAUACAAUUAACACUUUACGGACUACGUGGAAAGUGUAAGACAAAAGCAGAAUAGCAUAAGUCCUUUAUUCAUGAUAUAAGUGCUGAGAACGGAGCUUACUCAUCCAAGCAUAUAGACACACAAUGCUCUUUUUUUUUUAAAGAAUGCUUGAAUGGGCACACGUAGCCGAUGUACUGAAGGCAUAUUUACUAACUGAUUCAUUACCUAUAAUUUGAGUUAGUCUAACCAUGAUAGGUCAUUAGUUAAAUGACUCGUAUUUGCGAAAUAGAAACCAAAUAUUAUUUAUGAUGCAGUAAACGAUGAAUAAAUCCAAUAAAUGAAAGAUUUAGAGAUUGAACUUUAACGAAAUAAGAAGGGCUUGAGGAAGAUGCGAG